UACGUAGGGGGCAAGCGUUGUCCGGAAUCAUUGGGCGGAAAGCGCGUGUAGGCGGCUCGAUAAGUCUGCUGUGAAAGUCCAGGGCUCAACCCUGGGAUGCCGGUGGAUACUGUCGAGCUCGAGUCCGGAAGAGGCGAGUGGAAUUCCUGGUGUAGCGGUGAAAUGCGCAGAUAUCAGGAGGAACACCAAUGGCGAAGGCAGCUCGCUGGGACGUGACUGACGCUGAGACGCGAAAGCGUGGGGAGCAAACAGG
rnacentral:rRNA from 1 species